AGUGAACGCUGGCGGUAGGCCUAACACAUGCAAGUCGAACGACAGCACAGAGGAGCUUGCUCCUUGGGUGGCGAGUGGCGGACGGGUGAGGAAUACAUCGGAAUCUACUCUGUCGUGGGGGAUAACGUAGGGAAACUUACGCUAAUACCGCAUACGACCUACGGGUGAAAGCAGGGGAUCUUCGGACCUUGCGCGAUUGAAUGAGCCGAUGUCGGAUUAGCUAGUUGGCGGGGUAAAGGCCCACCAAGGCGACGAUCCGUAGCUGGUCUGAGAGGAUGAUCAGCCACACUGGAACUGAGACACGGUCCAGACUCCUACGGGAGGCAGCAGUGGGGAAUAUUGGACAAUGGGCGCAAGCCUGAUCCAGCCAUACCGCGUGGGUGAAGAAGGCCUUCGGGUUGUAAAGCCCUUUUGUUGGGAAAGAAAUCCAUCUGGUUAAUACCCGGAUGGGAUGACGGUACCCAAAGAAUAAGCACCGGCUGACUUCGUGCCAGCCGCCGCCGUAA
rnacentral:rRNA from 1 species